UCGAGUCUUUGAACGCAAGUUGC
rnacentral:siRNA from 1 species